AAUUCUGACCCCAGGUCAGCCUCUGAAGCAUUCAGUGGACUUGGCUAUGCUGAAUCUAAGCUACGCUGAGAAGGAUCUCUUGGUAUACAGAACAGACAUCAAAUUUAACCACAGAGACAUUUUACUUAGGAGAUCAACUAAGCAACUCCAUGAUUUAUAUCACUGAAAAAAAAAAAAAAAAAAACAGUGGCUGUUAAUUAGAAGCUCCCUAAGCUUUCCAUACCUCAUCUAUUCUUUGAAGAGAUUGCCAAUAAUAAUAUAUCAAGUUCUUUUAAUAUCCACUUUGUGGAGAUAAUAGUGUUUGUAAUAUUGAGAACAGUCCUUUGAGAAAUAUAGAUGAAAUAUUUGGUAAAACACCAAAACACAAUUUUUUAAAGAACACAUUGUCAGCAAAUAAAAGAACUGUUAAGAGAAUGGGCUCUGCAGCCUCUUUGCAAACUGGGUCUAGAAACACAAAAAGUCCUGCUGUAAGGGUCUAGUAUGGGAAAAGAGGAGCAGGAAUUCGUGGUAUCAAUCUACAGCAAAAAAGAAAUGAAUAUGGAGUUUCCAUGUUGCCCUUUCUGUUGCUUCUUCCCCUUUGCCCUUCCUCCUCCACCUUCUGGUACCCCACACCAUUAGUGCAUGAUUCUAAGCUUUCGUUUUCAAUCUUCUACCCUUUCGAGAAUCUGAUGGCAUUACAUGUUGUCUCCACAAAAAUGGUGCAUUUGCUCACAUAAUUAUGAAUACCAUUCUAAGAAGUUUUUAUGGACUCUUUCCAUCUAGGGAUGGACCUAUGUACUCCUCAUCCUCUUCAUUAUGAACCUUUGCCUUAACUGCUUACCAGAUCUAAGAAUCAGAUAAGCUCAUAUGUCUUAAAUGCAAUAAGGCUUAAUAUUUGGCUAUUCUCUCCUAGAAGGAAUUUCAAAUCUAGGAUAAUGUCCCCAUCUCAAGAUCCUUAAUCACAUUUGCAAAGUCCCUUUUACCAUAUAAGAGAACAUAUUUACAGGUUCCAGAGAUUAGGAUGCAGACAUCUUUGGGGAACCAUUAUUCAGCCUACCACACUCUACAUCACCUCUUCCUCAACCCUAGUUUUGGUCCUUAUCUGUACCCCUAGACUACUUUAACAUUUCCCUAACUGGCUUUUGUGACCUCAGCCUCUCUCCCAAUUCCUUGGCCAUUCUGUAUGUGAGCCAAGUUUUAAUGAAUAUUUGUCAUUAUCUUGAAUGGCCAAAAUGCUGACCUUAACAUACCUUGGCCCAGAACUGCUCUCUCCUGUCAAACUGAUCAUAAUGUUCCCCUAUCUACACAAACCAAGGAUAUUCCUAUAUUUGUUCAGAUCACACCUCCUCUCACCUCUAAAAUUCUCCCAUUAUGCUAGAGUCUGGCAUGAGUCCCACUUCUUCCAUGAAACCCUCUGGAGGUCCAACCCACAAUUUGACUUCCUAUAGCACUUUUUGUGAACAUGAUGUCCCUAGCAUUUAUUACAUGCUAUUUGUGUGUCUCCACCAGUUUCCCACCAUACGAUCUUAGAGAAGUCAAUUUCCAUUCUCGUGCCUCUGUUUCCCUAUCUAUAAAACUGAUAAUAUUUGUACUCUCAUCAUAGGAAUGUUCUGAUCUUUCAAUGUAAUAACAAUGCACUUAAAAUGCUCAGCAUACAGCACUUAAUAAAUGUUAACUCCCCUUCCUUUUUCUUCUAUUUACUUUCUUUAGCAUAUGAGCCAUAUUAAAAAUUCUUUCAGGGAAGGGACUAUUUCUUAUGCAUUAAAAUAUACCAUAUACAUUGUAAGAUCAAUAGGUACAUCUUUUAUCACUAUUACUGUCGAUGACAAUAAUUACCAUAUAAGAGAUGAUUCCAAUAAUGUUUCAGAACUCCAAUUUGGUCCUUCCCACUUUCUAUUUCCCAUUCUGGAGUACAAAUGAACACCUUCUCUUCCAUCAAACUAUUUACAUUUCUAUUAAGAUAUUUAGAGAAUAUUUAUACUUGAUUAACUAUGGAAACACCUAAGGGUAAUGGCUGGCAAAUAGCGGAUCUUCAUCAAGUAUUGGCACAAAGAAUUAUUCUGUGGUCAAGAAUCUGCCUGUUGCAUUGCUUUCUUUACUUCUGAGUUAUCAUUUGAAAAAGGAAGAGGAUGAGGUGCCUGGGUGGCUCAGUGGGUUAAGCCACUGCCU